AACGAAUCGGCGGCGGUUUUUAAUUAGCGGUGGCGUAGAGCGCAUUGAUUUGACAGGUGUUUCAAGACAAUAAUCACACAAAAACAUUUGCCACAGAAUCGCUGCCGCUUUGAGGAGUUGGAUCUUCAUUACCAUCUGUGUUUCUCUCACGGGAAAAGAACUUGCAGGAUGAACAGCAGUGGGCCAGUGUACCCUUUGGCCUCGCUCUAUGUGGGUGACCUGCACCCUGAUGUCACAGAGGCCAUGCUAUAUCAAAAGUUCUCCCCUGCGGGACCCAUCAUGUCUAUCCGUGUCUGCCGGGACAUCAUCACACGCAGGUCCCUCGGCUAUGCCUACAUCAAUUUCCAGCAGCCUGCUGAUGCGGAAUGUGCACUAGACACGAUGAACUAUGAAGUGAUAAAGGGUCGACCAAUCAGGAUCAUGUGGUCGCAGCGAGACCCUUGUCUGAGGAAGUCUGGAGUAGGGAACAUCUUCAUCAAGAACAUGGACGAGUCAAUCGACAACAAAGCUCUUUACGACACCUUCUCUGCCUUUGGAAACAUUUUGUCAUGUAAGGUGGUUUGUGAUGAAAAUGGCUCAAAAGGUUAUGGAUUUGUGCACUUUGAGACACAGGAGGCAGCGAAGCGAGCAAUCGAAACAAUGAACGGCAUGCUCCUGAACGAUCGCAAAGUAAAAUAUGCAGGUAAAGAGCUGGAAAGCAGCCCAGGCCCAGUCAAUCCUUUGGGGAAAAUAAGUCAACUGUCUGCGGUUAGUUUUGUUGGACAUUUUAAAUCUCGUAAAGAGCGGGAGGCAGAGUUUGGUGCAAAAGCCAUGGAGUUUACCAAUGUUUACAUCAAGAACUUUGGGGACGAUUUUGACAAUGAGAAACUGCGCAAUAUCUUCUCUGAAUUUGGUAAAACCCUGAGCGUUCGAGUGAUGACUGAUGAAAAGGGGCGUUCACGUGGCUUUGGCUUUGUGAAUUAUGAAAACCAUGAAGAUGCACAGAAAGCAGUAGCUGAGAUGAAUGGAAAGGAGCUAAAUGGACGUGUUCUCUACGUGGGCCGAGCUCAGAAGAGACUGGAGAGACAGUCCGAACUCAAACGCAAGUUCGAGCAAAUUAAGCAAGAACGCUUGAACCGGUACCAGGGGGUAAAUCUGUAUGUAAAGAAUUUGGAUGAUGGCAUUGACGACGACAAACUGAGAAAAGAGUUUGCCCCCUACGGCAUGAUCACCAGUGCUAAGGUGAUGACAGAGGGAGGACACAGUAAGGGCUUUGGCUUUGUCUGCUUCUCCUCUCCUGAGGAGGCCACUAAAGCUGUGACUGAGAUGAACGGCCGGAUCGUCAGCACCAAGCCUCUGUAUGUGGCCCUGGCACAAAGGAAAGAGGAGCGCAAGGCCAUCCUCACAAACCAGUACAUGCAGAGACUGGCCAGCGUGAGAGCCAUUCCCGGCCCUGCCAUGCCUGCUUACCAGCAGAGUUCUGGCUACUACAUGCCUUCCAUACCUCAGCCUCAGGGGCGUGCCUUCUACAACACUGUGCCGAAUCUACGACCAGCACCACGCUUUACUGGACAAGCCCCAAGACCACAGGUUCCUUACUCAGCUCAGUCACUGAGGCCAGUGGUGCCACGCAGGACCUCCACUCCCAUCAGCACCAUGCGCCAGGCUUCCACCCAGGCUCCAGGUGUGAACACUCAGAGAAUGGCUCACAUUGGGACUCAGACAGCAGGUGGGCGAACUGUGGGAGGGCCUAUGAUGAGAGGCGUAAGUCAUUACAAAUACUCCAGCGGUGUUCGAAACGUUCAACAUGUCAUCACUGUACCAGCUCCUGUUCCCCAUCAGAUGGUGUCUUCUCCAGUUAUUGAGCCUGCAGUUCACAUGAAAGGUCAAGAGCCCCUUACUCCAUCAAUGUUGGCAGCCGCACCCCUCUUAGAGCAGAAGCAACUACUGGGUGAACGUCUGUAUCCUCUGAUCCAGGCCCUUCAUCCUAACCUUGCUGGUAAGAUCACUGGCAUGUUGCUCGAAAUAGACAACUCUGAACUUCUGCACAUGCUCGAGUCUCCAGAGUCUCUACAUGCAAAGGUUGAGGAGGCAGUGGCUGUUCUUCAAGCUCAUCAAGCAAAGGAAGCCUCCCCUAAGAAAUAGAGGAAUUCUAUGCAGAAACUGCUGACGGAGAACUCUGAGGAAGGGAAAAACAGCAUUUUAGUGGCAGGAGAAUAGCUAAUUUUGAUGACACGGAGGGUGCUGCGAUUUGAGCUUGUGCUGUCUAUAGUACAAAGUAGUGGCAGCACAUUCACUCCAGUUGUACCUGCCAAAUCAUUUGAUUAGAUAUUGGUCAGUAAAACACUUUCCAUAAUGCUAUAGUAAGGUGAUUCUUGUACCUUUGAUGUGAUUUGCCUGGAGAUAGAGGUUCUGCAGACUUGUGCUGAUGGCUGGAAUCUUUUCCAGCUUGUUGUGGGACAGGUCCAGCUCCAUGAGAGUGCUCACAUUAAAAGUAUUGGGUUGGAUUCCAGCAUCGGUGAGGCGAUUGUGCGAGAGGCGCAUAAAGCGCAGCUCUGGCCGCUUUUUCACAAAAUCCACAGGCACAGAAGAGAUGUGGUUGUGGUCGAGGUACAGCUGACUCAGCUUGGUUGGGAGCUGCUCAGGAACCUUUGAUAACUGAUUCCCACGCAAAUCCAGAAAGCUGAGUGAGACCAGAGGCUCUACAGCACCGCCCAGAUCCUGGAUGGUGUUAUAAUGAAGACGCAAAGCUGUGAGGCUGUUCAUGCCACGCAAGGACCCAGGAGGCACGGACGUGAUGGCAUUGUGGUCCAAGCGUAGGUCCUGAAGAGAAUGAGGAAGUCCUUCUGGGAUGUACUCGAGUUUGUUGUGCUGUAAGAACAGACGCUCCAGUUUGGAUAGCUUAGCAAAGACCUAAUAAGAGAAAAGUAUUAAAUAUUGAAUGGAGUAAAAUCUUUGCACAUUUUUUUUUUUUGUCCUGAAUACAUCCUGCUUCUAAUAUGUAAUAUAAAUGCUUUUGUUUUAUAAUAAAGGCUUUUCUCUCUAAA